rnacentral:rRNA from 1 species
GAUGAACGCUGGCGGCGUGCCUAAUACAUGCAAGUCGAGCGAACUGAUUAGAAGCUUGCUUCUAUGACGUUAGCGGCGGACGGGUGAGUAACACGUGGGCAACCUGCCUGUAAGACUGGGAUAACUUCGGGAAACCGAAGCUAAUACCGGAUAGGAUCUUCUCCUUCAUGGGAGAUGAUUGAAAGAUGGUUUCGGCUAUCACUUACAGAUGGGCCCGCGGUGCAUUAGCUAGUUGGUGAGGUAACGGCUCACCAAGGCAACGAUGCAUAGCCGACCUGAGAGGGUGAUCGGCCACACUGGGACUGAGACACGGCCCAGACUCCUACGGGAGGCAGCAGUAGGGAAUCUUCCGCAAUGGACGAAAGUCUGACGGAGCAACGCCGCGUGAGUGAUGAAGGCUUUUGGGUCGUAAAACUCUGUUGUUAGGGAAGAACAAGUACAAGAGUAACUGCUUGUACCUUGACGGUACCUAACCAGAAAGCCACGGCUAACUACGUGCCAGCAGCCGCGGUAAAAC